AACGAACGCUGGCGGCAUGCCUAACACAUGCAAGUCGAACGAAGGCUUCGGCCUUAGUGGCGCACGGGUGCGUAACGCGUGGGAAUCUGCCCUUGGGUUCGGAAUAACAGUUAGAAAUGACUGCUAAUACCGGAUAAUGACGUAAGUCCAAAGAUUUAUCGCCCAGGGAUGAGCCCGCGUAGGAUUAGCUAGUUGGUGGGGUAAAGGCCUACCAAGGCUACGAUCCUUAGCUGGUCUGAGAGGAUGAUCAGCCACACUGGGACUGAGACACGGCCCAGACUCCUACGGGAGGCAGCAGUGGGGAAUAUUGGACAAUGGGCGUAAGCCUGAUCCAGCAAUGCCGCGUGAGUGAAGAAGGCCUUCGGGUUGUAAAGCUCUUUUACCCGGGAAGAUAAUGACUGUACCGGGAGAAUAAGCCCCGGCUAACUCCGUGCCAGCCGCCGCCGUAACAC
rnacentral:rRNA from 1 species